ensembl:lncRNA
CGGUCCUUCAUUCAGCCCUGUAUAUAGUGAUACAAGACUUGUGGCAUUUUGAAUUUAUUGCUGUUAAUUCCAGGAAAACAGAUCAACAAUUUGCAUAAAUUCCAAAUUCGUUCUAGAAAUAUUUGACCUUUCCAGUACAAUUACAUUUAGAUAUCAAAGAAUACAGUAAACAUACAACCGAAGGUCACAGUGAGUGUCCCCCCUACAGUACAGCAUUUUAACCAGAAAGGUUCAACAAGUACAACUGGCAGGUUUAUAUGUACAAUGGUCCUCCAAGCUGACAUGGUUCCUAUUCAUCCACACAAGCCUACAUGUGAACCCAACUUUAUCCCUGUGUUGACUCUUGGACUGUCUUAACCUAAGAAUUAAGUAUAGAAUUAAUUUUUCUUUCCAUGAAAUCAAGCAGAAUAUAUUUAGAGUACUUCAUCAGUUAAGGAACCUCCAUUUAUGCUAAUGUUUGUGGAGAAAAAGAGUGUCAAUUCAUGAAAUGUCUGUAUGAUUAAUACAUCAUAAACAUAAUGUAGAGCUCUAUCACUGAUUCAGAACUGGCUACCAAUCCUGAUACCCAAAACAUUCCAAAGAGACACCUCCACUAGUAUUCAUACAACUCAUAUUUUUUUUUUAUAACCCUCAUUAAACAUACUGUACAUUUGUAGCUUGUAUGUACAGAUGUGUAUAUUUUCAAUGACAUAUGCCAAUAGUCAGAUUUCACUGCUGCGUGUCAGGGGAAAUAAACAAAGGCUAUAAAACAUAUGCCUUGGCAUACAGUCCUCUAGAAAUGUCUAAAGGAAAUUGUUAUUUAGAGAACAGCGUUAUCAAUGAUAGUAUAGCAUAUUCACUCAAACCACUGAUGCUCCAAAGAGUGACAACUAGUGUCCCAACUCGGCAUUGCAGCACAACAUUUCAAAAUACUGGAUGGAGGACCAGCAGUUAAGCACAUGAUUAUAUUGGGAGAGUGUCACUGCUGCAAUAACAUUUGACUCUAGUUUUGUUUCAGGACUGUUUCAGUGCACUUGAAAGACUUCAGAAUUCCUGGUAGAUAUAGUGCAUAUUG